ACCGAAUUUCGAACAGUAGUUUACUCAACAGUAUAAAUUUAUAUCGUAGAAAAAGAAAAUAAAAAUAUCUUUUAGACCAGAAAAAUAUCUAUGUUAUUAAAAUUAAUGAAAAAUAAAAUGAAAGAUUAGAGAUAAGCAUGCAUUUAAUUUUAAGAUAAGAACUACACCUAUGCAUUACAAGGUGGCUAAUUUUUCUUCACAAAUUGAAAGUGAAAACGUGGACUGAGAAUUUACCAUGUAGCAGUAGAAUUAGAAAUCUAUAAAUAGGGUCUUAACAUUCACUUUUUACACACAAUUAUCACUCUCACAACUCACAAAAAGCUAGGAAUUUCAAUUAAGGUAUCCUAGAUGAAGGUGAUUGCUCGAGUUAUUUUGGAAAGCUUUAAGUUAGUGCAGGAUUCUAAGGCCUCAAGUUGAAGUUCAUUGAGAAAAGGAAAACGUGAUUGUGAGAGACAUUAAUUAUAAUACAAGGACCGUUAGUGUUGAUUAGUGAUCUAGUUUAUUUUUGGAGUCCGAAGAGAAAGAUCUCUUUGAUAUGUAUUGAUGACGUUAUUGGAGUACUCCCUAGGUGACAUGUAUCUUAGUGUUUGACCAGCUUGUGAUCAUUUGUGGGUUAGAGUCUUUUGUAGGAAUUUAUCUUUUAUUAUUUCAUAUUGAAAAAUUGUAAGAUAAUUAUGUGAAAUGAAAAUGUUUUAUAUUUGAAAA